GACGAACGCUGGCGGCGUGCUUAACACAUGCAAGUCGAACGAAGUGGCGAACGGGUGAGUAAUACGUGUGUAACCUGCCCUCCUUUUUGGGAUAAGCCUUGGAAACGGGGUAUCAUACCGAAUAACGGGGGAUGGGCUCGCGGCCUAUCGGCUUGUUGGUGGGGCGAUGGCCUACCAAUGCGGUGACGGGUCGCCGGCCUUGGAGGGUGACAGGCGACAUGGGGAAUGGGAUAGGGCCCAGACUGAUACGGGAGGCGGGAAUGGGGGAUAUUGCACGAAGGGCUGAAGCCGGAUGCAGCGACGCCGGAUGGAGGAUUUAGGCUUUCGGGGUGUAAUCCGCUGGGGGGAACGAACGGGUAGGUGGAGAAGAAGCGCCGGCUAACUACGUGCCAGCAGCCGCGGUAAUUC
rnacentral:rRNA from 1 species